rnacentral:rRNA from 1 species
UACGGAGGGUGCAAGCGUUAUCCGGAUUUACUGGGUUUAAAGGGUGCGUAGGUGGGCAGUUAAGUCAGUGGUGAAAUCUCCGGGCUCAACCCGGAAACUGCCAUUGAUACUAUCUGUCUUGAAUAUCGUGGAGGUAAGCGGAAUAUGUCAUGUAGCGGUGAAAUGCUUAGAUAUGACAUAGAACACCAAUUGCGAAGGCAGCUUACUACCCGAAUAUUGACACUGAGGCACGAAAGCGUGGGGAUCAAACAGG